AUCGAACGCUGGCGGCAUGCCUAACACAUGCGAGUCGAACGGAAACGAUGGAUCUUGCUCCGGGCGUCGAGUUGCGGACGGGUGAGUAACGCUUGGGAAUCUGCCUUUUGCUGGGGGGUAACGUUGGGAAACGUACGCUAAUACCGCAUAAGACCUAAGGGUGAAAGCGGGGGCCCGCAAGGGCUCGCCGCGAGAGAUGAGCACAUGUUGGCUAAGCCGGUUGGUGGGGUAUAGGCCUACCGAGUCGACGGUCCAUAGCUGGUCUGAGAGGAUGAUCAGCCACACUGGGAAUGAGACACGGCCCAGACUCGGACGGGAGGCAGGAGUGGGGAAUAUUGGACAGGGGGGGGAACGCUGUACCAGCAAUGGCGCGAGUGUGAAGAAGGGCUUCGGGGUGUAAAGCACUUUGAGUAGGGAGGAAAGGUGCGUAGUUAAUACCGGUGAAAUUGACGGUACCUACAGAAGAAGCACCGGCUAACUCCGUG
rnacentral:rRNA from 1 species